CCCGAGCUCCGCCGCUCGGUGCCCGCUCCAGAUGGGGAAGCCCGGCUCGGGGCGGUCGGGGGCUGGCCCGGACCUCGAGAAGGAGAAGGUACAGGGUGGGGCCGCUGCUGGGGACUUGACCAAGUCAGCCGAAAGUGGUCGGAAUGUCCAGAAGUUACUCCGGACAGGCCUGGGGGUGACAGUGUCAUCAGCCCUGAGACGAGACGGCACGGCCAGCGUGGGGGAACAGAGCUGGAGUCACCCGCGGGGACCUUGGUCGUGUCCUGCGCACCUUCGGGAAGGAGGACCAAGCAGCAUGUGACCUGUGACCAGCCACUCUGGGAUGCUUGACAAUGCGCCACACUCUGCUUUAGGGCUCCCAGUAGCAGAAGACGGGUGCUGUGGUCAUGCAGCAGGUGGCUGCUACACAUCUCUAGGGUCAGCAGGUUACCUCUGCACCACUGCCUUCCCAUGGCAUUGUGGACAUCCAGUGCUGGUGCCUGGAGGACCAUUUGUCAACACAAUACAAACAUGUUUUAUGCUCUUGCCAGAUCAAGAGGAACAAAUAAAUGUGCAACGGGACAAAUAAAUAGGAAAGGACUUGGGGCUGCUGUGCCAGAAUAGCCUGAAGUAGUAAAGCACAUGAGAAGAGUCCCUCAGGGCAGAGGGCAGAGUGGAGUGCCCAGGCCCUGCUUGAAAGCCUCAGAUGACCGAGGAAGGGUGACAUUCUAUUAGUAAACCACUAAUGGCCACCUCUUUGACAUUUCCUGAAAACUACCAUAGGUUGGCUGGUUCCUGGAGGAGCGCUGUGAUGUCAGCAGCCAGAAAUCCCGUGGAACCGGCCAGACUGGCAAAUGCAUUAAAGUCAGCUAAUCUGCUGUUUUAUCACUCCUCCA